UAAUGUUGUAGGAGGAGAAGGAGAAUCAAUUUGAGUGAGAAGAUUAGUUAAAUGUGGUACAGUGUAAUAAGACAGUCCCCACAUUUACCUAAGUAAUAAUAAACCAUCUCUGCAUGUUUCCUGUUCUUUACCCACAGAAACUGAAAGAGCUUUUCCCAAAUGAUACGUUUCAGAAUGUUGCCAAAGGUGUACCUCAUAUCAUUUUUGUGGAUCCAGAAAAAAAGAAUUGCCUCAAACAUCCCAUU